rnacentral:rRNA from 1 species
GGGAUAGCCCAGGGAAACCUGGAUUAAUACCGGAUGAGACGGGACCCGCGAUGGCGGGACCCGGGAAAGGCGCUGCGGCGCCGCCGGGGGAUGAGUCUGCGUCCCAUUAGCUAGACGGCGGGGUAACGGCCCACCGUGGCGACGAUGGGUAGCCGGCCUGAGAGGGUGGACGGCCACAUUGGAACUGAGACACGGUCCAGACUCCUACGGGAGGCAGCAGCUAAGAAUCUUCCGCAAUGGGCGAAAGCCUGACGGAGCGACGCCGCCGUGAACGAAGAAGGCCGUGAGGUUGUAAAGUUCUUUUCGGGAGGGGGAACAACCGUGGCAGGGAAUGGCCGCGGGAUGACGUGAAUCCCGGAAUAAGCCCCGGCUAACUACGUGCCAGCAGCAGC